UUUACUCUUUAAUUCUCGUCAUUUUUGUGUUUUGUUCCACCGUGUGAAAACCUGGCGAUAGGCAUGUGAAAACUUUUCGCCGUAAAAAAUGUGACCCUUAUGUCGUGGAUGUACUGUUAGUUACUGACAACCAUGGAAGUUGCCGCAACCAGCCGCAGAAAGUUUGGCAAAGGUGACCCACCCGGAGCCGCAGCAACCAGAUCCACACCCCAAAAACACUCGACUGGAAGAUGGAGGCCUCCGCCGGACGACGACGCUGCUUAAAUAUUAAUGCUCUGAGAGUCUGGGAGGAGACAGGCUGGGGCAGGCCAUGAAUAAAUUUUUGGCUAUGAAUUUUCAAUAGCCUCAACACACGGUUACAGUUCCAGUUGCACAGUUUUUCUUCUGAAUUUCGUUCAGAUCCAGGCUUUAAGUCAAGCCAAAGGUGUCGACCACAAGAACCGCAAAAAAUGUCGUAGAACAGGUACUAGAAAACAGAAAAAGGGUCAAUUGGAACUUGAAAUUAAUUUCAUUUCGAUGUGUACUUCCGUUGCCAUUGGCCAUGAACUUACCCAUUCCAUAUCCAUUGCUCCGGACUCUGCGUGGGAAUUUUAAAAGCGCGGCGGAGAGAGCAAGAGUAGGGUGAAACCGUAGAGAUGGAGAGGGAGUUGGACGUGCGUAUGGCGCCAAUUGCCAAAUGACCACAAAAACAACAUCACUCGCACACUGUUGACCCAAUAAAUAGAGGGCCCCCGGGUUGAGGACUUAAUCAAAAACCAAACCGGAAACAGUUCGUUCGCCCGGUCCCCCUCUCUGUAACGCAGCCAUUGGGCCAGGACAUUGCCCACUGAUUUUAUUUGCUUAUCCAGGAGUUUAUGAUGCUUUUAUUUGAUUUUUAUGCCUGCUGCUAUUUCCAUUUCUGUAAUUGAAUUGUCAUUGUCCUUGCCGUGGGUCCUGGCCCGAGUUGAGGUCCACUUUCUGUACUCUUCCUGGUUGGUCGACAGCGGCUUUGGCGGCUUGUCCGAGGCAUGUCAGAAAUGGUUUUGCGCUUGAUUGGCGUUCGUUUGGCAAACACCCAAAGGUAUAGGCCAAACUGAAGGACACAUGUCCUGCACAAAAAGGGUUGCGGUCAGUGAAGUUUAGAAGUGUCCAUUCAUUGGCAAAUUGGCGCAAUUGAUGUUUGUGUGACUGACGGAUCCGGAUGCACAUCCACAUCGAACGAAGGCAGGGAAAUUGAGCAAAUAAAAGUGUCACAAAACACUUUGUCCGAAGGGUUGCGAAACAAUUGUGCAAACUUUACACAACUUUUACUUUUAGAAUUCAAGAAUAGCAAAAUGGAACAGAAAUGAGAAGAUUAACUCUGGGGCCAUCGGGCCAACUGGAUAUCUGCAGAAUUGGACUUUUCGGACGUAUUGGUUACUUUAGCUACCAGAGGCAUAAACAAUGUCGAAAUGGAAACAGUAUUAUGUAUAUUUCAUAUAUAUUUUUACUUCGAUGAAUUUUAGAAAUUCUAUAACUUCUAUAUAACUUUUUCGUAUUUAAACCCUAAUUAUAAAUGCCCCUGAAUUUACAAUUGGAGCAGUUAGAGCAAAGACCAAGGCGGAUUUCUUUUAAAAGUCGGCCAAAUCCCACAAUUUUUUAAUGUUUCAAAAUAAAUUCGGAUUGUACGAUUUA